rnacentral:rRNA from 1 species
AUUGAACGCUGGCGGCAGGCCUAACACAUGCAAGUCGAGCGAGCGGCGGACGGGAGAGUAAUGUAUGGGAAUCUGCCCGAUAGAGGGGGAUAACUACUGGAAACGGUAGCUAAUACCGAAUCCUAUCGGCUGAACCCAGAUGGGAUUAGCUAGUAGGUGAGGUAAUGGCCCAGCUAGGCGACGAUCCCUAGCUGGUAUGAGAGGAGGACCAGCCAAACGGGAACUGAGACACGGUCCAGACUCCUACGGGAGGCAGCAGUGGGGAAUAUUGCACAAGUGGCGCAAGCCUGAUGCAGCCAAGCCGCGUGUAUGAAGAAGGCCUUCGGGUUGUAAAGUACUUUCAGCUGGGAGGCGUUACCCUCAGAAGAAGCACCGGCUAACUCCGUGCCAGCAGCCGCGGUAAUAC